AUGCAAUCCCGUCGCCGCCGUCAUGCUCUUUUCGAACACGCAGCGGCCUCAGCUCAGAAGCAAAACUCGAGGAAACACGGUGUUUACCAUUACCUGCACCACCCGCAGGCAGCUCCGGCGGAGGCCACACGCUUGACCCAGGCAAAGAUCUCCAUCGCUGUGGACAACGAUGCGUCCAAGCAGGAGCACACACUGGAGUCCAGACUCCAAUCAGCUCCCGCAGAGCUGGCCUUCGCCGAGCACACCUUCGCGAUAUACUGCACGACAGCUGUCUCUUCCUCUCUGUGUUGCGUCCGUGCCUCUGGCCUGGCGCGUCCUGCUGCUGCUUCGCGUAUCUGCGUGGCAUGGGCGAUGCGCAAAGUGUUUUCUUACCGGAGUCGGGAGCUACCGGUGAUCCUUCCACCAAUGAGGUGCUGCCACAUCUUAAGUUGUGGGACCAUGUGUAUGUGUAUAUGA
rnacentral:rRNA from 1 species